rnacentral:rRNA from 1 species
CGAACGGGUGAGUAAUGCGUGACCAACCUGCCCCAUGCUCCAGAAUAGCUCUUGGAAACGGGUGGUAAUGCUGGAUGCUCCAACUUGACGCAUGUCUUGUUGGGAAAGUGUUUAGUGGCAUGGGAUGGGGUCGCGUCCUAUCAGCUUGUAGGCGGGGUAAUGGCCCACCUAGGCUUCGACGGGUAGCCGGCCUGAGAGGGCGGACGGCCACAUUGGGACUGAGAAACGGUCCAAACUCCUACGGGAGGCAGCAGCA